AAAUAUAUAAUUAACGUAUAUUUAUUUUAUUUUAAUUACGUUCUAAAUAUUUAACGAUUUAUGAAAUCAAAAAAAAAAUUAGAAUUUGAUGUUGAAAAGAAUUUGAAUUACGAAAAUACGAUUGAAUUUAGGAAACAAUCUUAAGCGGUGUUGUAUUCAAAUACCAAACUUAGUCCUACUCCUAGCCCAAUUUGAUGAAGCCCAACAUAAUAAACCCAAAUUUCUUUCCUCCCUCCUCUUCCUACUUCACGUAAAAGAAAAAGAAAAAAAAAACCAAACCCUCUCCUCUCCUUCACUUCACGUGAAACCCUCCAUUCACGUGAACCUGCAAAAUCGCUCAAGUCUCUUUGUCCCAGCCGCCACCAGUCGCCGGACACCUACAACCGUCGGACCACCGUCGACCUCCCCUUCUGACCGCCGCAGCACCACCGCAGCGUCGCCGCCCAACCUACAUCGUUGCGCCGCAGCGUUCUUCGCCCACACCAACGUCCUCCUUGUUCUCCCACUUGCUCGCCGGAACUCCUCUUCGAUCUUCCUAUCCCGCAAGCACGAGUCAGUCGCAGCCACCACCUCUGCGCCACCAGCUUGCCGUGUCUGUUGCCGCCGUCUCUGACCGCCGGCCAGCCACCCCUUUUGUCUCUCUUUUUGGCGGAGAAUUCUCUUUAGGCGACUUUUGGAAGUGUUAAAGUGGCCUAUUAGUUGUUUACAAAAGUCUCUAAGGAUCAAUAAGCAUUGUCCAUCUGCAGGUUUGAAGAUGUUGCAUCAUUGGGAUCGGGAAUAGAGAGCUUGUAUUUAGUUUUGAUUUGCUAAGUUGACUUGGGUUUAUUUAAUUGGACUUUAAACUUGUUAGUUGACCUUAUUUUCGUUGAUUGGUUUUGGGAUUAACUAUG